GUGUCUGCUUAUUCCCUUUUAAAUAUUAUAGUAUUAUAUUAUACAGCGAAGCAAUCGAGUAUUAUAUAAGUAUAGGCCACAACUUUAUUUAUGAAGUCAAAUUAAAUGGGCGAUAGUUGUUCGUUAUCAAAGCCACAUUCUCCGGAUAGGGACAGGUCGUUUAAAUUCACCUCAGCUGCUGCUAAUCUUGGGUGCACCAAAUGAACCAGGCAACUAUCUACUAAGACUGGCGCAUAUGAACAACUGUGAAUAAAUUUU